rnacentral:rRNA from 1 species
UACGGGGGGGGCAAGCGUUGUUCGGAAUUACUGGGCGUAAAGGGGACGUAGGCGGCCAACUAAGUCCGACGUGAAAUCCCAAGGCUUAACCUUGGAACUGCGUCGGAUACUGGAUGGCUUGAAUUCGGGAGAGGGAUGCAGAAUUCCAGGUGUAGCGGUGAAAUGCGUAGAUAUCUGGAUGAAUACCGGUGGCGAAGGCGGCAUCCUGGACCGACAUUGACGCUGAAAGCCGAAAGCUAGGGGAGCGAACGGG